UGUUCGGGUGUCAACCCCUACGCGUAAUGAAAGUGAACGCAGGUGAGAGCUUCGGCGCAUCAUCGACCGAUCCUGAUGUUCUCGGAUGGAUUUGAGUAAGAGCAUACGGGGCCGGACCCGAAAGAAGGUGAACUAUGCCUGUGUAGGGUGAAGCCAGAGGAAACUCUGGUGGAGGCUCGCAGCGGUUCUGACGUGCAAAUCGAUCGUCAAACAUGGGCAUGGGGGCGAAAGACUAAUCGAACCUUCUAGUAGCUGGUUUCCGCCGAAGUUUCCCUCAGGAUAGCAGUGUUGAACUCAGUUUUAUGAGGUAAAGCGAAUGAUUAGGGACUCGGGGGCGCUAUUUAGCCUUCAUCCAUUCUCAAACUUUAAAUAUGUAAGAAGCUCUUGUUGCUUAAUUGAACGUGAGCAUUCGAAUGUAUCAACACUAGUGGGCCAUUUUUGGUAAGCAGAACUGGCGAUGCGGGAUGAACCGAACGCGAGGUUAAGGUGCCAGAGUAGACGCUCAUCAGACACCACAAAAGGUGUUAGUACAUCUUGACAGCAGGACGGUGGCCAUGGAAGUCGGAAUCCGCUAAGGACUGUGUAACAACUCACCUGCCGAAUGUACUAGCCCUGAAAAUGGAUGGCGCUCAAGCGUCUCACCCAUACCUCGCCCUCAGGGUAGAAACGAAGCCCUGAGGAGUAGGCGGACGUGGAGGUCAGUGACGAAGCCUAGGG
rnacentral:rRNA from 1 species